UAUAUUUGCGCCGCUGAUAUCAGCAUACAUAAUGAUCAAUUUAAAUAAUAUUGGAAUG
rnacentral:ncRNA from 1 species